UACCAGCACCCCGAGUGGUCGGGACGAUUAUUGGGCCUAAAGCAUCCGUAGGCGGCCUUACAAGUCCCCCGUUAAAUCCAACUGCUUAACAGAUGGGCUGCGGAGGAUACUAUAAGACUAGGAGGCAGGAGAGGCAAGCGGUACUCAGUGGGUAGGGGUAAAAUCCGUUGAUCCAUUGAAGACCACCAGUGGCGAAGGCGGCUUGCCAGAAUGCGCUCGACGGUGAGGGAUGAAAGCUGGGGGAGCAAACCGG
rnacentral:rRNA from 1 species